AACGCUGGCGGCAGGCCUAACACAUGCAAGUCGAGCGGCAGCGGGAGGAAGCUUGCUUCCUUGCCGGCGAGCGGCGGACGGGUGAGUAAGGUAUGGGGAUCUGGCCGAAGGCGGGGGAUAACCACUGGAAACGGUGGCUAAUACCGCAUAAUCUCUAAGGAGCAAAGUGGGGGACCGUUCAGGCCUCACACCUUCGGAUGAACCCAUAUGAGAUUAGCUAGUAGGUGGGGUAAUGGCUCACCUAGGCGACGAUCUCUAGCUGGUCUGAGAGGAUGAUCAGCCACACUGGGACUGAGACACGGCCCAGACUCCUACGGGAGGCAGCAGUGGGGAAUAUUGCACAAUGGGCGCAAGCCUGAUGCAGCCAUGCCGCGUGUAUGAAGAAGGCCUUCGGGUUGUAAAGUACUUUCAGUCGUGAGGAAGGUGUUAAGGUUAAUAACCUUAGCAAUUGACGUUAGCGACAGAAGAAGCACCGGCUAACUCCGUGCCAGCAGCCGCGGUAAUACGGAGGGUGCGAGCGUUAAUCGGAAUUACUGGGCGUAAAGGGCACGCAGGCGGUUAAUUAAGUUGGAUGUGAAAUCCCCGGGCUUAACCUGGGAAUGGCAUUCAAGACUGGUUAACUAGAGUCUUGUAGAGGGGGGUAGAAUUCCAUGUGUAGCGGUGAAAUGCGUAGAGAUGUGGAGGAAUACCGGUGGCGAAGGCGGCCCCCUGGACAAAGACUGACGCUCAUGUGCGAAAGCGUGGGGAGCAAACAGGAUUAGAUACCCUGGUAGUCCACGCUGUAAACGAUGUCGAUUUGGAGGUUGUGGUCAUGAACUGUGGCCUCCGGAGCUAACGCGUUAAAUCGACCGCCUGGGGAGUACGGCCGCAAGGUUAAAACUCAAAUGAAUUGACGGGG
rnacentral:rRNA from 1 species